GAUGAACGCUGACAGAAUGCUUAACACAUGCAAGUCUACUUGAUCCUUCGGGUGAUGGUGGCGGACGGGUGAGUAACGCGUAAAGAACUUGCCCUGCAGUCUGGGACAACAUUUGGAAACGGCUGCUAAUACCGCAUAAGCGCACAGUACCGCAUGGUACCGUGUGAAAAACUCCGGUGGUAUGAGAUGGACCCGCGUCUGAUUAGGUAGUUGGUGGGGUAACGGCCUACCAAGCCGACGAUCAGUAGCCGACCUGAGAGGGUGACCGGCCACAUUGGGACUGAGACACGGCCCAA
rnacentral:rRNA from 1 species